GUGGGGAAUAUUGCACAAUGGGGGAAACCCUGAUGCAGCGACGCCGCGUGAGUGAAGAAGUAUUUCGGUAUGUAAAGCUCUAUCAGCAGGGAAGAAAGAAGACGGUACCUGACUAAGAAGCCCCGGCUAACUACGUGCCAGCAGCCGCGGUAAUACGUAGGGGGCAAGCGUUAUCCGGAUUUACUGGGUGUAAAGGGAGCGUAGACGGCCAUGCAAGUCUGAAGUGAAAGCCCGGGGCUUAACCGCGGGACUGCUUUGGAAACUGUGUGGCUAGAGUGCUGGAGAGGUAAGUGGAAUUCCUAGUGUAGCGGUGAAAUGCGUAGAUAUUAGGAGGAACACCAGUGGCGAAGGCGGCUUACUGGACAGUAACUGACGUUGAGGCUCGAAAGCGUGGGGAGCAAACAGG
rnacentral:rRNA from 1 species